GCCCCAGUGGUGGAAUGGUAGACGCGGUAGACUCAAAAUCUACUACCUUUGCGGGUGUGGGGGUUCAAGUCCCUCCUGGGGCACCA
rnacentral:tRNA from 1 species